rnacentral:rRNA from 1 species
UAAUCUAGAGAAGCGUCUUCCGCGCCGGACCGUGUACAAGUCUCCUGGAAGGGAGCAUCGUAGAGGGUGACAAUCCCGUCUCUGACACGGAUCCCCGGUGCUAUGUGAUGCGCUCUCGACGAGUCGAGUUGUUUGGGAAUGCAGCUCAAAUCGGGUGGUAAACUCCAUCUAAAGCUAAAUACAGGCGAGAGACCGAUAGCGAACAAGUACCGUGAGGGAAAGAUGAAAAGAACUUUGGAAAGAGAGUUAAACAGUACGUGAAAUUGCUGGAAGGGAAACGCUUGACGUCAGUCGCGUCGUCCGGGGAUCAACCUCGCUUUUCGCUGGGCGUAUUUCCCGGUCGACGGGUCAGCAUCGAUUUCGACCGUCGUAGAAGGACGCGAGUGAAUGUGGCACUCCACGGGGUGUGUUAUAGCCUCGCGUAUGGAUGCGAUGGUCGGGAUCGAGGAACUCGGCACGACCCCUCGAGGGUUCGGGGCUUCGGUCCACGCGCGUGCCCAGGAUGCUGGCGUAAUGGCUUUAAGCGACCCGUCUUGAAACACGGACCAAGGAGUCUAACGUGCCUGCGAGUGUUCGGGUGCAAAACCCGAGCGCGCAACGAAAGUGAAAGUCGAGACCUCCGUCGUGGAGGGCACCGACGCCCGGACCGGAGCCUUUGGCGAUGGAUCUGCGGUAGAGCAUGUAUGUUGGGACCCGAAAGAUGGUGAACUAUGCCUGAAUAGGGCGAAGCCAGAGG